GAUGAACGCUGGCGGCGUGCCUAAUACAUGCAAGUCGAGCGAACAGAUGAGGAGCUUGCUCCUCUGACGUUAGCGGCGGACGGGUGAGUAACACGUGGAUAACCUACCUAUAAGACUGGGAUAACUUCGGGAAACCGGAGCUAAUACCGGAUAAUAUAUUGAACCGCAUGGUUCAAUAGUGAAAGACGGUUUUGCUGUCACUUAUACAUGGAUCCGCGCCGCAUUAGCUAAUUGGUAAGGUAACGGCUUACCAAGGAAACGAUGCGUAGCCGACCUGAGAGGCUAACCAGCCAAAUAGGACGUGAACCACGGUCCAGAAUCCGACGGGAGGACACGGGCGGAAGUAUCUCGAGAUGGACGAGAGCGUGACAGAGCAACACCACAUAAGUGAUGAAGAUCUUCGGAUCGUAAAACUCUGUUAUUAGGGAAGCACAAAUGUGUAAGUAACUAUGCACGUCUUGACGGUACCUAAUCAGAAAGCCACGGCUAACUACGUG
rnacentral:rRNA from 1 species